UGCAGUCGCCGAUGAAGCCCAGCUUGCUGGGUGGAUUAGUGGCGAACGGGUGAGUAACACGUGAGCAACCUGCCCCUGACUCUGGGAUAAGCGCUGGAAACGGCGUCUAAUACUGGAUACGAGUAGCGAUCGCAUGGUCAGUUACUGGAAAGAUUUUUUGGUUGGGGAUGGGCUCGCGGCCUAUCAGCUUGUUGGUGAGGUAAUGGCUCACCAAGGCGUCGACGGGUAGCCGGCCUGAGAGGGUGACCGGCCACACUGGGACUGAGACACGGCCCAGACUCCUACGGGAGGCAGCAGUGGGGAAUAUUGCACAAUGGGCGGAAGCCUGAUGCAGCAACGCCGCGUGAGGGAUGACGGCCUUCGGGUUGUAAACCUCUUUUAGCAGGGAAGAAGCGAGAGUGACGGUACCUGCAGAAAAAGCGCCGGCUAACUACGUGCCAGCAGCCGCGGUAAUACGUAGGGCGCAAGCGUUAUCCGGAAUUAUUGGGCGUAAAGAGCUCGUAGGCGGUUUGUCGCGUCUGCUGUGAAAUCCCGAGGCUCAACCUCGGGCCUGCAGUGGGUACGGGCAGACUAGAGUGCGGUAGGGGAGAUUGGAAUUCCUGGUGUAGCGGUGGAAUGCGCAGAUAUCAGGAGGAACACCGAUGGCGAAGGCAGAUCUCUGGGCCGUAACUGACGCUGAGGAGCGAAAGGGUGGGGAGCAAACAGGCUUAGAUA
rnacentral:rRNA from 1 species